CGUGUAACACUUAAAUUUAGAAAUCUCGGCUUGGCAGCAGUGCGUGUGGUAUGGCGGCAUUCUCAUCUCAGCUGGUGUUUCGUAUGUGCAAGGUGCAAGUGAUAGAAAAACGUUGCAUGAAUGAAGGUUCGUCGGUGACUGCGCCCGAGAGAAACGCUCACUCUCUUGCCUGCGGCGGGCGGAUCGCCGCGCGGUGCGCCGCGAUAUACCGGAGGCGAGGGGAGCAGCAGGCAAACUGCGUGGGGCGGAUGGCGUCGGUAUUUGCCUUCAUCUGACGGAUUUGAAAAUCGCGGGGCGGGCGGGCGCAGGAGCCUUCCAGAGCAGCAUCGGUGGACCAUUAUCAUCUUAUCAGCGGUGGCAGCCGCCCAGCCUGCUCCUCUGGGUCCACGACAGGAUGAAUAAAACAACAAGAGCGGGACGCACUUCAGUCCCCUACGCAACGGCUGCAGCACGGAUUCCUCAGCGAAAAGCAGUGGUAGCAAAGUGUCGCCCCUCCGAGGGUGGGCCUGGCCCAGCGGUGCGCCCGUGAGGCAAUAACUAAACCGUCGCAACUCUCGCGCUCUCCCCUCCCAGUUGCGGCGCGGGUCCUCUCUUCUCUUGCUCAUCCAGCAGUGCGCGCUUGCACUACUACUGCUCUAGCCCUGCUCUCUUCCUCCUCCAAGACGCGCCGGCGGGCGGCGGCCUUGUUUAGAUAGCAUCGCGGGGACAAACAAAGAUGGCGCCUAAUGCACUUGCGAUGUUCGACCCCACAAGAAGUAGUCGCCGCGUGUGCAGCG